rnacentral:lncRNA from 1 species
GGUCUGUUACACAGCAACUAGUGCUGUUGGAGCAUUGGCCCACCCUGCUCUCCAAAGGCUCCGCCCCAGGGACCCAUACCGUGUUUUGCAGAGCAUCAGCAAUGUAUAUUGCAAACUUAACAUCUCUCCCUGGGGCAUUUAACUGAAAAUUCUCUGGCUGCUGUUUAGCAAAUCAGGCCUGAUAUAUCUUCCAUCAACCACUAUUCCACUUUUUUGCUCACAACUUUAAAAAGUACCACCAGGCACGGUUCUGCAGCGGAUACUGAACUGGCACGAGGCUUGUCCCCACCAACAAUGGCCCGUUUUAGACUGGGGGGGGAGAUGAAUCUCUGCAAUCUGCGGCUUGGCUGGGAAGAUCCACGGCAUUGGGGGGUUCAGUAGCUGACUCUCCCAUCGUCCAUACCCUCAGCACAUGAAGAGCACUGCGUGGGGCGUAACAUAUCUCCCCCUCAUUGAGCCCAUUGAUACCCCUAUAGCACAAUAAACAUCUGGGAGGCGGCUUACCAUCUAGUGCCUGGCAAUACAUCGAUGGGAGCUCAAAUACCCCAAUCCGCAAAGCACUGGGAACAGACAGUGUGAAAAAGCUAGAGGAUAUUCUGGGAGAGGAGAGUUAGACACCCCUUAUUAAGUUCCGUCAUACCCAACUACAGCACUAUUACAAGAAGAUUCCUUAUCGGAUUGCAUUACAUCGAGCCCCGACGUGGUUUGACAGCAUGUGCAAAAUAGGUGUCACUGUGGAAAAUUCCAUCUCUGUUCUAUACCAACUAUUGCUGACUGGGAUAAACCCAUGAACACGACCUAUAAAAGACGAUGGGAGGGCUGGCUGAACACAACAUUUACGGACACGCAAUGGGAAAAAGUUCUCACUCUGCAUCACGAGAGCUCGAUCAGCUCCAGAUACCAAGAAAAAAACUACAAACUAUUGUCAGGCUGGUACCGCACCCCGACCCUUCUUCACAGGAUAUUCUUCGCUGCUUCCCUCCAUUGCUGGAGAUGCGACCAGAGCGAGGGGAUGGUGGAGCUGACCCCGAAUCGUUCCUUUCUGGGAGAUGGUGCGGGAUACCAUGUCCAACGUCUUUGGUGAACCACAACAACUAACAGCAGAACUGAAACAGUUACCUGCACUCUCUCCUAUCCCUAUGUAUAUUUAGACAAAUGGAGGUCAUUUAGUUGCUCCAAUGUCCAUUGGGGGGAACGCCCGCCUGCUAACGUCAAGGCAGACCCCCCUAAAGCACUGACCCUUCAGCCUGCUUCCUUGAGCUUCUGGCAAAGAUAUCUCUAAUGAGACAGAGAGGGGUAUUUUUUAUAUACACCCCUAUAUACUUAUUAACCCUUAAUAGAGAACACAUGGGUUGGGUGGCAGCAUUGUAACAAGGCUGUGUGAUACAAAGUAAAUACAAAUACAAAAAGAUAAGUCCUGCGCUCACUACCAUCACUACUGGGCCGGCAGCAACGACUACAGUACACAUCAGCCCCAAUAUAUAGCAAAAAAGAAAAGAAACAGUUACGUGCACUCUAUCCUUAAUCCCUAUGAAUAUUUAGACAAAUGGAGGUCAUUAAGUUGCAUACAGGAUACAUGGGGGUGUAAGUGGUACUGCUGAUGGGCAGAGUGGAGAUGGGGGGCCUGAGACGAGGUCUGUGGAUGGAUGAGAGGUAACCUACCCAUACACCUCCACGACAUAUCUCCACUAUAGCUUCCGCUGAUUCCUCCUUUCCUCACUCACUUCAAAGAAUAACCCUUAUUUCCUGCUUCUUCUCCCUCUUACUUUUCUCCAUUUCCUUCCUUAUUCCACAAUACUACAAACUCAAAGGAUAAUAAUAUAAAACUAGAUCAAUGGAAAUAGAU